rnacentral:rRNA from 1 species
UGGGGAAUAUUGCACAAUGGGGGAAACCCUGAUGCAGCGACGCCGCGUGGAGGAAGAAGGCCCUCGGGUUGUAAACUCCUGUCUUCGGGGACGAUAAUGACGGUACCCGAGGAGGAAGCCACGGCUAACUACGUGCCAGCAGCCGCGGUAAAACGUAGGUGGCAAGCGUUGUCCGGAAUUACUGGGUGUAAAGGGAGCGCAGGCGGAGCGGCAAGUUGGAGGUGAAACCCAUGGGCUCAACCCAUGAACUGCCUUCAAAACUGCCGGUCUUGAGUGGUGUAGAGGUAAGCGGAAUUCCCGGUGUAGCGGUGGAAUGCGUAGAUAUCGGGAGGAACACCAGUGGCGAAGGCGGCUUACUGGGCACUAACUGACGCUGAGGCUCGAAAGCAUGGGUAGCAAACAGGAUUAGAUACCC